rnacentral:rRNA from 1 species
GACAGAGGGUGCAAACGUUGUUCGGAAUUACUGGGCGUAAAGCGCGUGUAGGCGGCUAAGCAAGUCGGGCGUGAAAUCCCACCGCUCAACGGUGGAAGUGCACCCGAAACUGCAUAGCUAGAGUCCUGGAGAGGAAGGUGGAAUGCUUGGUGUAGAGGUGAAAUUCGUAGAUAUCAAGCGGAACACCGGUGGCGAAGGCGGCCUUCUGGACAGUGACUGACGCUGAGACGCGAAAGCGUGGGGAGGCAAACAGGG